UCGCAUUCAUUGCGACGGGAGCCAGCACGGUACGCGCGGACCAGGUGGUUCUCGCACGGCUCGGGCAUUUUUCUGUUCCACCCUGAGCCGUGCCCGUGACCCGGUCUCCCUCACGGCCACCGGCCCCGGCCCGCCAUAAUUGCAUCCCCCACCCAUGCUCCCCCUCGCAACCAACACGACCCAAUCUAGCAUCGUACUCAGCCGCUGCAACUGCACGAGAGCCAUGCCCGUGUCAGCUUCCUCCUCUGAUGGCGUACCCUUGCUGCGACGCGGAGCUAGUCACCGCCAUAGCUGGAGGGUCAGAAACCUAGAUCCAGGUUCUACAAGUGCAUCCUAUACGACAUCGGUCGUGUUGUGGCGUUCGCAGGCAUCAAUGAAGCAUAUCAGCAGGCUACCCAGUCUUAACCUGCAAAAAUACCAAGUUCCUGCUAAUAGCAUUGGACAUGCAGUUCGAUCUGGCAGACAAAUGUUAAUUUCUUUUGUUCUCUGUUAUUCGCCUGCCUUAACAUAGGAUUUAUCUGAAUAUAAGUUAACUGAGCGGCUACGCCAUCUAGCUAACUGAACCAUGCUGAAUACAACUACCUGCUGCUACCAUUUUCAACUGUAGAACCACAUUUGCGCACCACAAACUGAUUCCUCGAACAGAUCAGUUAUCUCCAGAUGCGCACAAAAAUAAACUUACGAUCUGCUGAUGGAAGGAGUUCACCUUACCUCUUCGUCCAGCCUCCGGGUUAACCAUCCUAGUCGAGAGGCCAAGGUCCAGGAUCCGCACUGACGUCCUGUACCAUGGCACAGCAUCACGCCGUGACGGAGACGACAAGCACCCACGCGGGACGACGCCCCACCAUACGGAAAAGGCCCACCGUACGCUACUGUAGCCCCAUGUAUUGCGCCUGUAUCUUUCUUUUCUGUGGGCAAAGACUGCUGCGACAGCUGGACUUUCUCGCAUCCCAAUAAUGUAGAGAAUGACCAGGAUUUAGGGUGCAGCUGAGCCUGGGCACCAAAACGCCCCUCCCUAUAUCGAAUAUUAGUUACGGAGGAGUACUAAAUAAUAAACAGAAAAGUAGGCAUGUGUGUCAGGGACAGCUAAAGAUUUAGGGCAGGGCCAUAUCGGUCGAAGAAUUGGUCACAUGAGUGGAAUACAAAAACAAACUGCAAAAAACUAGAAAAGGCACAACUAUAUUAGACUCAAAGUAAACAAGUAGGACGGGUUUUGUUUAGUCAAGUACAUUUCAUAAACUGUGGGAAUAAAAUAUCUUGGACCAAGUCUUUCGUGUACAUAACUUGUCUUCUCCAAGAGAUUAUAAUGUAUUAAUAACUAAUUCUUGAACACAGCAAAGUUGUAAUUCUGUACGCAGGCCUUUGUCGGUGCUUCAUGGUGUACAAAUGUUAAGAAUGUCACAUAGACAAAAAAAUGAUGUGGCAAAGCAAUUAAGAAAAAGAAUUGGUCACAUGAGAAGAGCAUAAACAAACCGCCAAAAACUAGAAAAGGCACAAUUAUUAGACUCAAAGUAAACAAGUAGGACGGGUUUCUUUAGUCAAGUACACUCUUUCAUAAAUUGUGGGCAGAAAAUAUCUUGGAUCAAGUCUUUCCUGUACACAACUUGUCUUUUCCAAUAGAUUGUACAAUAAUACCUAAUUCUCAAACACAACAAAGUUAUGUACUUAUACUCUUUUCAGCGCUUCACGGGGUGCCGGUGCUAAGAAUGUCACAUAGGCAAAAGACUAAUUUGGUAAAGCAAUUAAGGAGGAGAGAUAGCUCCCCGUAAAAAAAAAGGAGAGAUAGCACUUCGAUGACCUCAGAAUCGAUGUCAAGCGCACAGACCUAUGCAAAAUGUCUACCAAACAAUCCAUAAAUGAGUUUAGUUACUAAACAAUUAAUGAAGGGAGCUUAGCUAUAACACCAAGCACAUAUGCAUUGGAGAGACGAUAUUCUUUUAGAACAAGGAGACAUUAGUUGUUAAGCCUUUUAAUACACUUAGCCCCACACAUAAGCACCGGUGCAUUGAAAAAGGCCUUACCAGAUACUCCCUCCAUCCAAAUAUAUAUAGGGCCUAAUACAGUUUUUGAGAUUACAUUUGACCACGGCUUGUAUUCCACCUCUCUUCUCUUUCCUCUCCUUUCUCUACUAACAAGGCACAAAUCCGAUGUGGCAUCUCUUAUAGAAAACAAGGAAGAGGAGAAAAAACAAAAACCGGGUAAAAACAACUGAAAUGAAAUGGAAAAGAAAGGAAUUGAAGCUUCCAUAAGCUUCUCAAAACCGGUCUUGGGAGCUUCUGUAAUUGGGAGGAGCUUCCAACGCGUACGAUAUGUUGGAUGGGCCGGUCUGCUAACUAAUCUAUCGAGGGAUGUGUGUGCCAUGUACGAAUUACAAUGUAUUUAAGCGCCAAAUAGGAUUCACCUGACAUGACAAGCGUUGAUGAAAAGGCGAGAUGCGUUAAAUGAGCCGGACAGGUGAGCAACACUCAGACGCGGAGGAGGAGCUCUCGGAUCUGCAGCCCCCUAGAAUCUACACGUCCAUUAUUGUCUCAGGAAGGAUGUAAUUAAUGCAGAUUAAUUUUGCUUUGUGUCAAUACAAAGUAUAUACUCGCUUGUAUUCACAGCAAGAACAACUUUUUAAUUCGUGAACAUUUUUUAAACAUUUUUAGUAAACAA